CUAGCCAACAGUCUCUCUCGCUCGCCGCAUAGAAGUAUAGAAUAAAUCUCUCUCUCUCUCUCUCUCUCUCUCUCGCGUUCUCUCUCUCUCUCUCUCUCGAUCUCGAAGCUCAACCAUGGCGAUCUCGCUACGCUCCCUCGUCCUCCUCUGUCCCCUCCUCGUCCUCCUCAAUCUCACUCUCUCGCCUCUCUCCUCCGCCGACGACGACGAUCUCUUCGAUGUACGGAAGCACCUCUCCACCGUCACCAGAUAUGAUGCUGUUAAAGGCUCUAGCAAUGGUGCUUAUGUGCCUUCUGCUAUACCAAAUGGAUGUAGUGCGAUUCACUUGAAUCUUGUGGCAAGGCAUGGAACCCGUUCACCAACAAAAAAACGCAUCAAAGAGUUGGAUCGUUUGGCAAUUCGUUUGAAUACUCUUGUGAAUGAUGCAAAACAAAAAUCAGAAGAAAACUCCCCUCUGCUGAGAAUACCAUCCUGGCUGCAAGGAUGGGAAUCGCCUUGGAAAGGGAGGGAAAUAGGUGGUGAGCUUACUGGCAAGGGGGAGGACGAGCUGUAUCAUCUUGGUAUAAGAGUGAGAGACAAAUAUUCGGAAUUAUUCAGUGAGGAAUAUCACCCUGAUAUCUUCUCAAUAAGGGCGACGCAGGUACCUCGAGCAUCAGCUAGUGCCGUGGCAUUUGGUUUAGGGCUAUUUACUGGAAAAGGAAGCCUUGGACCAGGACAGAAUCGUGCUUUCUCUGUGAUUAGUGAGAGUCGAGCAAGUGAUAUCUGUCUAAGAUUCUUUGAUACUUGUGAAACUUAUAAGCAAUAUAGAAAGAAUCAGGAGCCUGCUGUUGAGAAGCUAAAAGAACCAAUUUUAGAUGAAAUCACCUCUUCACUAGUUUCCCGAUACAAUCUUAAUUUUACAAGGCAGGAUGUUGCCUCCCUUUGGUUUCUUUGCAAGCAGGAAGCAUCUUUGUUAGAUAUGACUGACCAAGCUUGUGGACUUUUUAAUAAAGCUGAGAUUCUUUUACUGGAGUGGACAGAUGAUUUGGAGGUCUUUGUACUAAAAGGUUAUGGUAAAUCGAUAAAUUAUCGCAUGGGAAUUCCGUUACUCCGAGAUGUAGUCCAGUCAAUGGAGCAAGCAAUUAUUGCUAAAGAAGAAAAUCGUAGCCCUGGAAAUUUUGAGAAAGCAAGGCUCCGGUUCGCUCAUGCGGAAACAGUCGUGCCUUUCACCUGUCUGCUUGGGCUAUUUCUUGAAGGAUCCGAGUUUGAAAAGAUACAAACUGAGCAACCACUCUCCUCACCUCCAAAGCCACCACAGGAGAGAAACUGGAGGGGAAGUGUUGUAGCGCCGUUCUCUGGAAAUAAUAUGUUGGUUUUGUUUCAAUGUCCGGGCAAUAAUUCCAGAAGUGAAUACUAUGUUCAAGUCCUACACAAUGAAGUUCCAGUUCCAAUGCCAGGUUGUGGCAACACUGAUUUCUGCCCGAUUGAGGUUUUCAAGGAAAAAAUUGUGAAUCCCCAUCUAAAACACGACUUUGAUACUGUCUGCAAUGUAAAGCUGGAGCUAGAAGAUACCAGUGUGGAGACAGCCGAAUCUCGGUCCUUCUUUUGAAACCAAGAAAUUUGCUUUUGCUAUAGAAAGACACCUCCAUAGGGCUUUGUGUUCAACUAUUCUGGGACGGUCGGUAGGGCACCCUAGAACUAAACAGAGAUCGACUGACAGUCAUAAGCACUGUGGGGUCCGUGAAGUCUGCUCUGAAAGUCGAUGAGGGACGUGCAGAUUAAGAUGCCGGCCGCCGCAGAAUUCAGCACACCCUCGACAACCGGAAGCCGCGGGGGCUGUGAUCGGGCCAGCCAACGAAAAGCUAUACUGCAGUUUGUCCGCGGAAAAGAGCGCAAAUCAAAUUUAUACGAUGAUGUUCGACAAGUAGAUCCAUUGGGAGAGCUCUAAAUUACAAAUUUUACUUUUUUCUUUUUUUCCAAAGACUUAAAAAACUCUAAGAUCGAGCCUAGUAAAUUUUAGUCGAUGGUCGAUAUAUGUAAGCUCUUUCAUAAAAGACAACUUGAUACUGGAGAGAGGAUUAUUUUUUAAUUGGAUAACUAACUCUAUGAAAUUUUUUUUGGCAAA